rnacentral:siRNA from 1 species
ACGCAUGUUUAUGUUCUCAUCGGU